rnacentral:misc_RNA from 1 species
UAUAUUGUUUAUAGGCACAAGUCCUAAUGAAACAUUCUUUUACAUACAAGGGGUAUAUGAAAAACAUAGAUCUGAAAAUGCAAAGAGAGCUGGCCAAUAAAGGCACGGCAAUCCUCUGAACUGAGUUGCCUCAGAAAGUUAUUCAGAUCUACAAAAGGUGCACAGGUGGAGAUAUAAAGAUGACAAGUGUGCACAUGCCUCCGAGGAAGCCAGCAACAACCUAUCAGGUUUAUUCAAUAAUGAUCCUUCCGCAGGUUCACCUACGGAAA